rnacentral:pre_miRNA from 1 species
UACAAUGUUUUGACUCUUGGUCUUAUUUAAAUUUUUUUGCGAUUAAUAUUUUUAUUCUUAAAACACGAAUAAUAUUUUAUGUGUGACUAAUUUUUUAAGUUUUUGUUCAAAUUUUUUAAAUAAGACGAAUGGUUAAACGUUGGGUACGGAAAAACA